rnacentral:rRNA from 1 species
CACGUAGAAGACUAGUGUUAUUCAUCUUUAUUAGGUUUAAAGGGUACCUAGACGGAAAAUCAAGCCAUAAUAGGGACUAAUUUCUAGAGUUUUAUGAGAGAAGGGCGAAUUUCCGGAGGAAAGUUGAUAUUUUGUGAUACUGGAAGGACGGGUAACGGCGAAGGCAACCUUUUAUGUAAAAACUGACGUUGAGGGACGAAGCCUUGGGUAACGAGAAGG